GUAUAACAUAAUGCAUCAUAGUCAAAGGUCUUUAAAAUAAGACAUUUUAAGUACUCAAUAUUAUCAUUUAAUUUAAAAUAAAAACAUCGGGUAAUUUCAGGUCUUUAGUACAUCCGGGUUUCAGUGUGUCCCAUCGAAAUCGGCAAAUCGGACACAUGUUGAUCAUGUUUACAAAGUGAAGUUGAGGAUUUUCUCACCAUACAAGCCGUAUGUAAACAUGCACGGACAUUUUAUCUGCAGCUCAAAGUACUUUAUCAAUCCUCUGGAGCAUUAUUCUAAGCAAAAUUAUCCGAUUUAUAUAUUCUUGUGUGAAUUGUUUACGAGGAAAUUCCGACUGCCACAGUGAUAAACAAGGAUGAACACUCUUGACUCUGUUUCGGAUUCCCCAGUGAUAAUUGUAUCGAAUGAUUAAAGAGCUGACGGUUACAUUUUAAUUUAUGAUUGGCGUGGACCAUGGGAAUGAAUUCGAAGUCAUUUUAUGAUGCCACCACUUGGGAUAGUAAGCUGCAAAUAUAGACUUGUACUCAGCACUUAUUGCCUUUGAGAAGUAAGGGAUCCUUUUCGUGCCAACACCCACACCUACUGUGACACAGAAUCUCGGUUUAUACAGUCUCUUUGGAGUAACCUGUCUCUAGCAUUUAGCAGUGUGACUGUCAUCUGAGUACUGAAAUUUGAUGCCAAGCAUGAUCAUGAUUUGCCAGAAGAGCCUCUUUUGGGAGAUGACAAAGAAUAAAUAGCAGAAUGAAAUUGAAACAAUCAACUGAAUCAAGUCUCACUUUAAGAAGAUGAUUUUAAAUAUAUCAUAUUUAAAUUUUGAUUUGAGAAACAUUUUAAAUAUAUCAUAUUUAAAUUUUGAUUUGAGAAACAGACAUAAAUCCAAAAAUAUGAUUAUAUCAAUUGCUUUCAGUUUUUCAAGAUAAAUAGAUUUUGUUGCAAAAUCUAAUAUGUUUAAUUUGGAAUAAAUGUUCUUUUAAAUAUU